GCUUUCGUGGUGUAACGGUAGCACACUCGGCGUGUAUUCGAGAGGUCCAGGUUCGAGUCCCGGCAAGGGUA
rnacentral:tRNA from 1 species